GGGAAAGUGGCCGAGUGGUUAAGGCGACACGUUCAGGUCGUGUUGGGAUUCAUCCCGCGCGCGUUCGAAUCGCGUCUUUCUCA